rnacentral:rRNA from 1 species
UACGUAGGGGGCAAGCGUUGUCCGGAAUCAUUGGGCGUAAAGCGCGCGUAGGCGGCCUCCUAAGUCCGUUGUGAAAGUCAAAGGCUCAACCUUUGAAAGCCGAUGGAUACUGUGAGGCUAGAGUCCGGAAGAGGCGAGUGGAAUUCCUGGUGUAGCGGUGGAAUGCGCAGAUAUCAGGAGGAACACCAAUAGCGAAGGCAGCUCGCUGGGACGGUACUGACGCUAAGGCGCGAAAGCGUGGGGAGCGAACAGG